UCUCGUGGUGGUGGUUGUGGUGGGCGGAGAUCUGGUUAUUGUGUUGGCGGCUAGCUCAGCUGGGAAAAGGAAGGUGCGACCGUUGUUGGUUUUUUAUACAAGGUCUUGUGAAUUGCAGUGUGGCCACUGCUAUGACAAGUCUUUGCGAGUUGUUGUUGAUGACAUGGAACUGCAGAGCAUCAGUUGCAUGGUUAUAGGUCAACAGGCCGGAGCUGGUUUGGUGAAGAAGAGUCGAUGUGGAAUUGAAGAAGAGGGCAGCUAUCACAUCAUUUUUUAAUCUUCAGCCCAAGGCAACGUUCCUAUCAUGACCUUCCUUUGUGCAGAGUCCUCUUUGUGCUUCUUGCAUCCUGUGAAGAUGAUAGGACCUGCGGAUAAGGCGUAGCUAGGGUUCAACAAGGGUGAGUUGGUGACCUGCACGGCACCACCACCCUCGAAGUUGCAGUUGCUCUGUUCUGUUGGGCAUCGUCAUCCUCUUUCAGGCACAGAUCAACAUGCUCAUGCCUUUUUGGUUUGUUCUCCCUGUUCAGAUAUAUGCUGUCAGCAUACAUAUGUUGUUCCAAUGGCUUGAAGAGGUGUGUGGCUCACCAACGAGGACGUUUGUCCAUGCAUGAUGUCAUUUUGCUCUGAUGAAGCUGCUCUUCCCCUAAGAGUGCCAGUAAUGUUGUGCUUGAUUAUAUAGAAGCCAUAAACAGAACACUAACUGAUUCAGGUGUCACCAUCGUCGGAGACAGCAGAACAGAUAGAAUCACCUCCUCUUUUGAUGCUGAUGCUGAAGAAACGUGACCAGAGAACCAUGUCUACAGGAAUAGGGAAGAGAAAUUAACAUACGAGAAUAUACUCCAUCUGAGUCUGAUUCUAUGGCGUUGGAUGAUGUUCCUAUGCGCUCAAAGGAUUAUAUAUUAUCAGGGCAUCGCCAUCUUACAGAAGAACGAGAGUUGAUGAUCUUUAAAUUUGGUUGUUUAUUUUUUUUCCUCAAACAUAUCAACGCUCUCUUGAAGCUAGGAAGACAGGAAUCAAGUUUUCUGCUUUUAUUUCGUAUUUGGUUUUGUAUAAAAUAAAUUGCUAAGCUCCAUGAUCUGUGAGAUUCGCACCGUCUAGGUUUAGCUCCGGCCGCAGCGUCCAACUUCAUAGAGCCUGGAUUUCGUGUUUUCUCCCCACCGAGGUCAGCCCGCCUCACAAAUAUCCACGCCCAAGUUAAUUCUCUGCAGCCUAUUGCGGAGUGCCACAAGUCCUGCUAUUUUUCUGGGAUCUGUUUUUUAUCCCAAGAAUGGUGAUUGUUUGCACAUUGAGCUAGCAAAGUCGAAUUCACGCAGACGUAAUGGAGGUUACAAUAUUGCUAAUUCUCUUACUCGUAUCACUUCCCUCCAGCAAAAUAUCCUACAACUGAGUUUAAGGGAAUGAUGAGUGAAGGUGGAGGAGUUGAUGAAGACAAUACUAAAUCCUAUAGGGUAAGGAUUAUUUUUUCACUGGCCAAGGACAAGCUAAGAUGGCUCCAAGGUCAUAUGAGCUCCUCCAUUUGGUUGUGGGCUCGUGCAGGCUGUUGUUGCGACUGUUCCUCUGAUAGGCUGGACCUAGCGAUGGCAAGAUGUUAUCGUCUCAUCUGUCAUGAGAGCCUUGCUCCAGGAAUCACCGCCUUGGAUUGGGUCUAAAGGUAUGCUUGAGGCGACACCUCCAGUUGAGUUUGAAGAGGUGAUUCUUUUUUGCACAUUAAACACACGCAUGGCAGAAUAUAAUUUUAGUGCAAUACAGCGUUCAUGGUCAAAUGAUAUUCGGUUAUGAAAUAAGAUUGUAAGAUAAGUUUAGAAGCAUUUGUAUAAUGUACAAAUAUCACUUGACAGAACUGAGAAACUUUUGUUCUACCUCUGUUAUUCUCAAAGCUUAAAGUGUUUGACAUAAUGUUCAUCCGUGUGAAAGAUGGGCCACGUGCCAAGGUGUGCCCUAUCAUAGUGAAAAAGCAUAAGACGAGCUACACAAUGAUUCUAUCCAUAUAUCUGUUUAUGAGAUUGCUCA